CCAAGGUUUUGCUAAAUUAAAACACGACUGUACACAGCUCCUAAACUGGAGUGGUCAAUCCCAUCUUGACACACGCACCGACAAGUUAAGUACUUGACUACACCCAGCAGCCUUCCGUCACUGAAUUAGAAAUUCAGGUAGUCCAGUGCCUAAGUGCAGUGAGUUGCUUGUAAGUCACCGUGGCGGUCUUAGGUCAGAGGGAUAUUUAUACCCAUAUUCCAUCAGAGCAAAUCUUGACAGCAGAAAUAGCUCCAGAGUCGGUCACGUUCAGUGUAGAUGUACCCUUACAUCUCACCUGUAUGCCAUACCAGUGUCUCCACAC
rnacentral:lncRNA from 1 species